rnacentral:antisense_RNA from 1 species
CCCCGCAAAUUUUAGGCGGGGGGUCGUGCAGGUUGAGAAAUCUAUACCUUGGAAAAAUUAAAUAUAUAAAAAAUAUGCUUGAACAAUAAUGCUUGAUGAAGAUUCAAUUACAUCUCCCAACUUGGAAUAUUUAGCAAAAAACAAAAAAGGAACAUUUAGUCGAAUCAGCCUCUCAAGUAUCUCAGAACUACGGUAAAGAACAAGAAAUGCGAGAAAAUACGUUAAAAAUACUUAAAUAUUCGUUAUCUCUAAUGGUAGCCAUUAAUAGAAAUUUAAAUGUCAAAAUAGCACUUUUUUUGAACUAGGAAUACGCUAGCUACUAUUUAAACUAGUUAGAUUAAAAUUAUUCCCGGUAGAGGUGAGUUUGAACGUGUUAUAAAAGAAUAAUGAUAGGGUGGUGAUCGUCGUAUUAAUCUAUGAAGUUUUGAAAUAGCUUCAUGAACGAAGUAUUGCACAUAGGAGCUUCUCCUAAUGUAUCCCCAAGAAAAAAAAAAGUUAAUAUGACUCAGACCUUGUGAAAAUUGAGUGGUUCCUGAAAAGUCUCAAGCUCCGUGUAUCUUUAUUUCGUCAGAAUUAACAAUAUUCUCUCCAACUAGGAACCUAGCUACGUUGUGUCGAUGAUCUCCCUGAAUUUGAAGAAUUGGUCCAUGCUCUGGGUCAUCAAUUAUUGUUCCAUUACAGCUGAAGUUUUUCUUGAAAGCUUUUAAUAACCUUUUUAAGUCAAACUCAGCGCUGAGUCCCUGUACAGUUGUUAAACUCUUCUUGCCAUUACGUUGUUGGUUUCUUAUGUGAACGUAGCCAGAGGAGCUCUUUCCAACUUCUGAUAGUGCGUCUACGACAAACGGUGUGGGAAUUCCAACCGUAUCUGAAGAUGAGGCCAUACAAUUAAACUUGAACUUUUAAGCAAAAAUUGCCUUGCAAUAAUUAUUUAUCCAUUUAAAAGGAUAAAAAAAGGAGACGCGGCCAUUUAUACCGCCAAGUAAUAUUUUGAGGGCUGGCGCCCGCAAUAUAAACUUUCCAAGUAAUGUCUACUAUAAUAAUAUCCUUUAAGAUAAGUUUUGGGUGGGGUGUGUCGAGG